ACCUGUGGAGAGAUGUCGUAAAUCAUUUUGUCACUUACUCCAUAUGUAAUACCAACAAAUCUAUGUGUGCAAAUAUGUCGUAAAUCAUUCUACCACUCACUCUAUAAGUAAUAACAACAAACCUUCCUGUGCAGAGAUGUCGUAAAUCAUUCUAUCGCUUCCAUAGUUAUAUCAAGAAAGAAACCUACCUGUGAAGAGAUGUCGUAAAUCAUUCUAUCACUCACUCCCUACGUAAUAUCAACAAACCUACAGAUUUGUCGUAAAUCAUUCUGUCACUCACUCCAUAGGUAAUACAAACAAACCUACCUGUGCAGAUAUGUCGUAAAUCAUUCUAUCACUCACUUUAUAGGUAAUACCAACAAACCUACCUGGGAAGAGAUGUCGUAAAUCAUUCUUUCACUCCCAUAGGUAAUAUCAACAACAAACCUACCUGUGCAGAGAUGUCGUAAAUUAUUCUAUCUCACGUUAUAUGUAAUACCAACAAACCUACAUGUGCAGAGAUGUCGUAAAUCAUUUCAUCACUCCCAUGGGUAAUAUCAACAACAAACCUACCUGUGCAGAGAUGUCGUACAUUAUUCUAUCUCACUUUAUAUGUAAUACCAACAAACCUACCUGUGCAGAGAUGUCGUAAAUCAUUCUAUCACUCCCAUAGGUUAUACCAACAAACAAACCAAUCAGUGCUGUCAAACCAUAUAGUGACAUAGUUAUUUUUCAAAAAUCUUCGUUAAUGAACAACGUCUACGUAUGCAACCUAGACAUCUAAUGUUAAAACAGCAGUAAUGUACAUUUAUAUGAGAUAAGGAUACCGGUUUGUCGGAAAUAUACAUCUACAAACAGCAUAUGAAUCAUAGCUUUAAUGAACUUGUU
rnacentral:lncRNA from 1 species